rnacentral:lncRNA from 1 species
ACUGGGAUACUCACUGCUGGAGCGGCUGCUCACCUACAACUCCCUGUACAAGAAGGGCCCUGAUGGCUAUGACCCCCAGUUCAUAACCAAGCUGCUCCGCAACUACAGGUCUCAUCCCACCAUCCUGGACAUUCCUAACCAGCUCUAUUAUGAAGGGGAGCUGCAGGCCUGUGCUGAUGUCGUGGAUCGAGAACGCUUCUGCCGCUGGGCGGGCCUACCUCGACAGAGGCUGCCACAGUGACUUCCUACCUGAAGCUGCUCCUGGCCCCCUCCUCCAAGAAGGGCAAAGCUCGCCUGAGCCCUCGAAGUGUGGGCGUCAUCUCCCCGUACCGGAAACAGGUGGAGAAAAUCCGUUACUGCAUCACCAAACUUGACAGGGAGCUUCGAGGACUGGAUGACAUCAAGGACUUGAAGGUGACAUGCUGUUCCACAGUCACUCCCUGCCUUCCGUGUGCCCCCACUUGCCCACUUCCAGAGACUUCCUCAAGCUUCCACUCCAGCCCACGUCCCCGUCCCACCCCUGCUGCCUUGAAUAGAGCUCGAGCUCUCCCUGAGCCUCUCACUCCUGGAGAUUCCAACUUAAGGGUCUGGGAUGGGAUCAGGAAGCCUGCAUGUUUAACAAACACCUCCUGUCAUUCUUAGACUGAGGCAGGUUUGAGGCCUCUGCCCUAAGGAUAAAGUCCAAAUUCCGUGGCCUGUCAUGUGAUGCUGCCACCCCCACCCCCAGUAGCCUCUCUCUUAAGGUUCUGGUCUCAACACUGGCUGCAGAUAACAAUCACCUGGAGAGCUUUUAAUACCCCGCCCCCAUGCCAGGGCCCCACCCACCAGCUCAUACAGCUAUCGGGGCAGAGCCAGGGCACUGGUAGUUUUUACAGCUUCUCAGGUGAUUCUAAUAUGCAGCCAGGGUUGAAAACACUGCUCUAAGACUUACAGGCCUCUCUCUUGGAAAUUCUGAUCGGGGGUCCGGGUUAGGGCCCAGGGUUGUAUAUUCUUAACAGAUACUUAGUGAUUGUUUUCAGGAAAGUUUGAAAGUCACUGCUCUGAGUUCCCGUGUUCUUUGCAAUGCUGUUUUCUUUCCUUAGAACACUUUGCAGGCCCCAGCCCUCAGCAGGAUUCAACCUUCAUGUUUCAGCUUCCACAGCCUACCUCCCAUCCCCUUUCCCUGGGCCGUGUCGCAGCACUGGUUCACUCACUGAUCUACAAUUGCCCAGUGACCUCUCUGUACCCUCCUUGGAAGGCAAGCUCCCUGGGGUAGGGCACCCCUUUGACACCCCUGGCUGGUCUCAGGCCCUGCCUCUUUCCCCACUAGGUGGGUUCAGUAGAAGAAUUCCAAGGCCAAGAACGAAGCGUCAUCCUCAUCUCCACCGUGCGAAGCAGCCAGAGCUUUGUGCAGCUGGAUCUGGACUUUAAUCUGGGUUUCCUUAAGAACCCCAAGAGGUUCAAUGUAGCUGUGACCCGGGCCAAGGCCCUGCUCAUCAUCGUGGGGAACCCCCUUCUCCUGGGCCAUGACCCUGACUGGAAAGUAUUCCUGGAGUUCUGUAAAGAAAACGGAGGGUAUACCGGGUGUCCCUUCCCUGCCAAACUGGACCUGCAACAGGGACAGAAUUUACUGCAAGGUCUGAGCAAGCUCAGCCCCUCUACCUCAGGGCCCCACAGCCAUGACUACCUCCCCCAGGAGCGGGAGGGUGAAGGGGGCCUGUCUCUGCAAGUGGAGCCAGAGUGGAGGAAUGAGCUCUGAAGACACAGCACCCAGCCUUCUCGCACCAGCCAAGCCUUAACUGCCUGCCUGACCCUGAACCAGAACCCAGCUGAACUGCCCCUCCAAGGGACAGGAAGGCUGGGGGAGGGAGUUUACAACCCAAGCCAUUCCACCCCCUCCCCUGCUGGGGAGAAUGACACAUCAAGCUGCUAACAAUUGGGGGAAGGGGAAGGAAGAAAACUCUGAAAACAAAA